rnacentral:lncRNA from 1 species
GGACCACGAAUUGCAUAUGCUUCAAGCAACUUAAAUCUUUCAAGUUAAGUCAUGUAAGUCACUAUUACACUAUGGAUUAAUUUGACCAAUUUUUAUAUAUUAACUUAAGUCCCUCACAAACACGUUUACCACAAUGAGAAACUAUGUAGUAUGCAUAUAUUUAACUAGUCAAAAAUAUAAAACAUAAAAACUGCCACAAUUAAAGGGGCGGCUCUUUUUUUUUUUUUUGGUUUUUCAUUCGGUGUUUGAUAUUUAUAUUGGAGCCCGACUAAAUUUGGAUUCGCGCCAGGGAGUCUCAUAUUGGGGCAAAACACUUCUUAAUAAAGGGGACUCCAUACCUAUGGUCUCGAGGCCUCUGGUUAAGGAUGGAGGAGCACUUAGCACUUUAUCACAACCUUUAUUGGCGGCUCAACGUAUUUUCUGGUCUAAAGUCAAAAUAUACUAAAAAAGCCUUUAAUUUUUUUUUUUAAAAAUCCAAUUUAUACUGAGAUACAAAGCAAGCUUCUAGGACUUUGGCUUGAUGGUAAUAGCAUAACGCGAGACGUGUGAAUUAGAUUCACGAUUUGAAACUUUGUUAUAACUAAAAAUAUGGUAUUAAUUAAUUGGUAGAAGGUAGAGAAGGCACGACAAUAAUCUGUGAGACUUUCGAACCUUGUGCCCAAUUGCAUUGGGGGAUUUCUCUUAACAAGAUAGAACAAAAAAUGAUUACUUUCUAUGAAUUAAUCAAUAAAUUAUGGUGAAAAGAAAUAGCCAAUUCAGAAAAAUUGAGUUAGAAUUAAAAAGUAAAAUCAUUAGAAAGAAAAUAUAUGGGUGUAAAUAGAGGAGAAAAUUUAAAUUUGGUAAUGUCAAUUUUAUCAAACGAAAGAGAAAUUUAUCGUUAUUUAUCACUAAAUUAUAUAACUAUUAUUAUAAUUUUUAAAAUAUUUUAUUAAUAAUAAUUACAUAAAAUAUAUGUGAUAUCAAAUACUUAAAAUUGGGAUUGUUAAUAUUUCAGGGACACAAGCCAAUGACUUCAUUUGCUUGUUUUUGGUAAUCAUUUUGAGAGAUUCUUAACUUAGUCCUGAAUUAGAGAAAAAGAAGAAAAGGUUUUAUUUGUGAUCCAAAAAUUAAUCAAACCAAACAAUGUUUGAAAUGUCUAAAUUAAUCCAAUUAUUAUUAGUGAAUUCUAAUGAAUGACCAUGAUUUAGAACGUUAAGGCAUAAUCAUUAGGAUGCAUCAAAAGAAACACAAGGGUUUCAUUUAUGAUCCAAAAGCCAAUCUUACUAAAGAAUGUUUGACUAAGGUCAACUGUGAUGAUGUUCAUCAGUUCAUGUCCACAUUGCACGUGUAUUCCAAGUGUACUGCACUAUCAUUAUUCAUUAAACAAGCCCUUGCUAAAUUAGGGUUAGUUUGCAUGUAACUAGAUUUAUUCUACCGUAUAUAUAGUUAUAUACUACUUUUCACUAAUAUAUAGUGAUGGAAGAUGAGUGGGUCCGGUCAAAUAUAAGCGGAUAAAAAAAUAGUAAUGCAAAAUAAAAAAAUUAUUUGACCCAAUUCAUAUUUAAUAUGAAUAAAAAAUAUGUUAAUCGGUUAAUAAUAUGAAUAUUCAUAUUAUUUAUGACUUCUUAAAUAUUAUCUCUUUUGAAAGAAUUUCUAGUCUAUCAAACAUGAAGAACCACGAUUUGAGGCUUUACAAAUAUAAAAGUUAAACACAUAAAUUAUUUAUUUUUUAAUAAAUAAUAUGAAUGAAUAAUUUCUUUUUAUCUAUUUUGCCAACAUUAUUAAUACAGAUAUCGGAUAGUUCUAUUUUACUAAAAUUUGGUCAUAUACGAAAGUACGAAACAAUCACUUAAUUUUUCUUUUCACCAUUGAAGUUUGAACCAGAAACUUUAUAGUAAAAAUUGUAUUUAAAUUUUCCAGAUGGAGAUAUCUUGUUAUUCUAGCUAGUACUAUGGAACUUGAGGAUACAUUUACUUAUUUCUUCGUAUAUUUCUCUUUCCAAGCUCACGAAAAUAAUUUUUUAAUGAGUGUGAAUUUGAGAAUCUAAACGAUAUAACUGGUAAGAUAAAAGGGGUUAGUUUUGAUAGCAAGUAACUUUUACUUUUAAUAAAAAAAAAACAAAGUAAGAAAUUUUUGUGGAGUUGUUAUUGUCCCAAGGUAGAGGUAAUGCGUACACACUACUUAUUGUUGUUGUUGUCCCAGGGUAGGAGUAAGGUUUGCGUACUGUAUCACGUUAGAUCAGCUUAAUAAUUAGAAUUAAAAUUUAAAUAUUCAAAAUCAAUAUAAAAAUACUAUCAAUUCGAUUUUUCUCAUUUAAUAUGUUGAAAAUAUGUGAAAUGUUCGUCAUCGAGUUAGAUUAUUCUGAAGUAGCUAAUUGUCUUAGUUUUAUUCGGAGUUGAGCUUUGAAAAUGAAGUUUCUUUUAAUAGCGAAUGCUAAAAUUAAACUUCGACGCUGAAUGUGUAAAAAAAUUAUUUUUAUUUCUGGAAAGACUUUUCUAAACUUAACUGCUAUAAAUAAUACAUUUUAUAUAUAUCAUUUUCCUCUCUAACAAGAAAUGUUAUACUUUCUCCGUCUCAAUUUAUAUGUCAUUCUUUCCAUUUUGGUAUGUCCCGAAAAGAAAGUCAUAUAUAUGUUUUUAUUUAAGAGUGAUUCAACUUUAAAGUUACUAUUUUAUAAUUAAUGAGAUGAUUUAUAACUAUAAAAAUAUUUAUAAUUUAUUUUAAACUAUAAAUUUAAAACAAAAAUAUAUUAAAUUUUGUGUCGCAUAAAACACCGCUAUAUAUAUUGGGACUUAGAAAGUAGUAAGUUUUAAUUUUUCUCUCGGAUAUUUCUCCCUUUUGUGGUUUGGGUAGGGAGAAUAAUUGGUAAAAAGAAAUGUGCAGCUUUUUGUUUUUAAAGUUAUGCUUUUAAUAUAUAGCAUGUAGAGAGAUUUUGGGCAUCAAAUAAAAGCCAACCCCACUCACAUAAUAAUAAUUGGUAACUAAUAGAAAAGCAAAAGCAAAAGUAGGUUAAUAAUUUCUUCAAUAAAAGAUCUCACGAGGAGCUAUUAUAUCACCAAUCUCGAGCUUGUCUUGAGAUUCUCACCUUUUUGGCAUGGUUAUGUCUUUUUGUACUUGUAAUAAUUAUCGAUAAAUAUUUUUUCUUUUACUUUUCCUUUUCAUUUCUUAUUUCCCCACUUAAAUAAAGCAUGUUUACAUGCAGAAAAUUUCUACACUUGGCUCUUCGACAGAAUAGUAAACUUGUUUCCUUUUACUAUUAAACUUUUCUUCGAUAUUGUAGCAUAUUGGAAUUUUCUCAGUAAAUAACGUUUCUCCUUUACCUGACCUUGUGAUAAGAAUUUGAGUAAGUCGAGAUUCUAAUAUUCAUACCAAGUACCAAGUGAAAAACCAAAAAAAAAUAUAAUAAUAAUAAUAAAUCUAAUAUAAUUUAAUAAGAUAAGGUCUGGAAAAGAUAAUUAUAUAUAAGUAGAUCUUAUCCCUAAAAAUAAAAGGACUAUUUUUGAUAAAUCCUCUUUUCAAGAAGAAAUAACAAAAAAUAAAAUAACAAGCAAUAACAAAACUAAAAAACAAUAUACAGCAUACUAGUUAAUUGAGUGUCUUUUGUCAUUGGAAUUGAAUUUAAAUGGUAACACUUACAUUCAGCAUCAUAUGGGAAUAGGAUCUUAAUUAAUUCCGUCCUCUAUCUUUUUCCAUGUCAACUACUCUGGCUCAUUUCGAACCCCAGAAAUAUUAUUGGUCAAAAAAG